AGUGGACGCUGGCGGUAGGCCUAACACAUGCAAGUCGAACGGCAGCACAGUAAGAGCUUGCUCUUACGGGUGGCGAGUGGCGGACGGGUGAGGAAUACAUCGGAAUCUACUUUUUCGUGGGGGAUAACGUAGGGAAACUUACGCUAAUACCGCAUACGACCUACGGGUGAAAGCAGGGGAUCUUCGGACCUUGCGCGAUUGAAUGAGCCGAUGUCGGAUUAGCUAGUUGGCGGGGUAAAGGCCCACCAAGGCGGCGAUCCGUAGCUGGUCUGAGAGGAUGAUCAGCCACACUGGAACUGAGACACGGUCCAGACUCCUACGGGAGGCAGCAGUGGGGAAUAUUGGACAAAGGGCGCAAGCCUGAUCCAGCCAUACCGCGUGGGUGAAGAAGGCCUUCGGGUUGUAAAGCCCUUUUGUUGGGAAAGAAAAGCAGCAGGUUAAUACCCCGCUGUUCUGACGGUACCCAAAGAAUAAGCACCGGCUAACUUCGUG
rnacentral:rRNA from 1 species